rnacentral:rRNA from 1 species
GACGAACGCUGGCGGCGUGCUUAACACAUGCAAGUCGAACGGAAAGGCCCUGCUUUUGUGGGGUGCUCGAGUGGCGAACGGGUGAGUAACACGUGAGUAACCUGCCCUUGACUUUGGGAUAACUUCAGGAAACUGGGGCUAAUACCGGAUAGGAGCUCCUGCUGCCUGGUGGGGGUUGGAAAGUUUCGGCGGUUGGGGAUGGACUCGCGGCUUAUCAGCUUGUUGGUGGGGUAGUGGCUUACCAAGGCUUUGACGGGUAGCCGGCCUGAGAGGGUGACCGGCCACAUUGGGACUGAGAUACGGCCCAGACUCCUACGGGAGGCAGCAGUGGGGAAUAUUGCACAAUGGGCGGAAGCCUGAUGCAGCAACGCCGCGUGCGGGAUAACGGCCUUCGGGUUGUAAACCGCUUUCGCCUGUGACGAAGCGUGAGUGACGGUAAUGGGUAAAGAAGCACCGGCUAACUACGUG